UGCUUAAAGUAGUUAAUGAAUAUUUCUUUACUUCUCAAAUGUCUCAAGAAGAUGGGCAGUCAGGACUUCCAGUGGAAGGAGGGCGACAUCGACGCACCCACAAACCUUCAACGCAAAAUUUGUCCUGCUUACGAGGAGUGUUGGCAUGAAGACGCUGAAGGACCCUGCCCCCACUUGGUUCUGAUUGACAGGAGCCCAGCAUAGCUGCCUCCUGAGAGGCUUCAUCCAGCAGCAGAGGGAGGCAGAUGAAGAGACCACAGCUAAACAUCAGACAGAGCUCGGGGGAGUCUGUGGAAGAGUGGGGUGUAGAUGUGAGCGAGCCGGAGCCGUCUAGGACUCCACAAGGAGGCCUACAGAAUCAACUAACCUGGGACCAUGAGGGCUCACAGAGACUGAACCACCAACCAAAGAGCAUGUGGGGGCUGGACGUAGGCCUCCCCACCUUCGUAGCAGAUAUGCAGAUUGAUCUUCACAUGGGUCCCCUAAUAAUUGGAGCAGAAGGCUGUCUCUGACUCUUGGAUCUCUUUGCUGGAUUGCCUGGUUGGGCCUCGGUGGGAGAGGAUGCGCUUACGUGCUUAAUCCUACUGCAACUGGAUGACCCAGGGUGGAGUGGUACUAUCAGAGGGCUUCUCCUUCUCUGAGGAGAAGGGGAGGGGACUAUGGGGAGAGAGAUUUGGAAGGACAGCCCUGGGAGGGGCACCGUGAUUGGGAUGUAAUGUGAAAAACAACAACAAAAUAAAUCAUGAACAAGAAAGAUGGGGCUCCAGUUCGUUAUGUCUUAGGAAGGCUUUGGAAGGGAGGCCAUACUCAUUACUCUCUCCAAAGUCAUCCCAGUGGUGACAUCCGACGAUCUAUUCUGAAAGCCCAUAGUGGUCCACACACUUCCAUGAGUCAGACGGGAGCAGCUACAAUAGCUGUCUGCCAUUACAGCAGUUAUCAUGAUCACUAACGCCUCUUCUUGCUUUGCAUUUCCCUUAUGGGCAAAAUUCAAGGGAGCUUGCUGCGAGGACCCCACGUUAAGGGUUUCCGAACACCCAUCCCUCGUGAUGUCCGUGUCUCAGCAGUGAGAACAGCGAGCUCAGCAUCAGUCUAAGUAGUGCCGUGAAGGCUAGAUGCGGCUAGCAUUAACCAGUGGAUCCCAAGAAGAACAGUUUACUCCAUAUAAUGUGGGUGGGCCUUGCACAAUCAGUUGAAAAGACGAAAGUUCCUUGUGCAAGGAAUUUUACUUCAAGACCCUGAUAGAUCCGGACUUGCCAGCCUCUUUGUCACUGACUGUAAAUAUCUUCUGUUGGUUCUGUUUCUGUGGAGAAGCUGAAAUUACGCAUCCCUUUGUGGAUUUGUCUUCCACUUCUAUCAAACCGGAGUAUUCCUGAGAGGGCAGAACAGGAAGUGUACUCCCUAAGGUCUAGACUUUCUCUCCAGGGCUUUGCUUUCUGCCAGAGGUCAAGAGAAUAAGAGCGCAGGAGGCACAAAACGGUUUUGGCCUGAAGUGUACCGAGCAGAGCACUCGUUCUGUUCAGCUUCACGUUCUCUUUCUCCAUCAUUCUCUCGGGCUGUUAAUGUCACGUCCCAUCUGAGGUUGACUUGUUCUGAUCUUUGCUGGGGAGAUAGAGUGUAAGUUUCUUUUAUUAACAGAGAUCAUUUUGUC